rnacentral:rRNA from 1 species
UACGUAGGUGGCAAGCGUUGUCCGGAUUUACUGGGCGUAAAGCGAACGCAGGCGGAUGGUUAAGUAAGAAGUGAAAGGUCGGGGCUCAACCCCAACACUGCUUCUUAUACUGGCCGUCUUGAGUUCCGGAGAGGAAAGCGGAACUGCACGUGUAGCGGUGAAAUGCGUUGAUAUGUGCAGGAACACCAAUGGCGAAAGCAGCUUUCUGGACGAGAACUGACGCUCAUGUUCGAAAGCCAAGGGAGCGAACAGG